rnacentral:rRNA from 1 species
UACGUAGGGGGCUAGCGUUUUCCGGAAUCAUUGGGCGUAAAGCGCGUGUAGGCGGUCCGGUAAGUCCGCUGUGAAAGUCGGGGGCUCAACCCUCGGAUGCCGGUGGAUACUGUCGGGCUUGAGUACGGAAGAGGCGAGUGGAAUUCCUGGUGUAGCGGUGAAAUGCGCAGAUAUCAGGAGGAACACCAAUGGCGAAGGCAGCUCACUGGGACGGUAUUGACGCUGAGACGCGAAAGCGUGGGGAGCAAACAGG